rnacentral:rRNA from 1 species
CCUACGGGUGGCAGCAGUGGGGAAUAUUGCGCAAUGGGCGAAAGCCUGACGCAGCGACGCCGCGUGAGGGAUGAAGGUCUUCGGAUCGUAAACCUCUGUCAGCAGGGAGGAACGGUCACUGUGCUAAUCAGCAGUGAAUUGACGGUACCUGCAACGGAAGCACCGGCUAACUCCGUGCCAGCAGCCGCGGUAAUACGGAGGGUGCGAGCGUUAAUCGGAAUUACUGGGCGUAAAGCGCUCGUAGGCGGUAUGUCAAGUCAAGGGGGAAAUCCCCGCGCUCAACGUGGGAACUGCCUUUGAAACUGGCAAACUGGAGUGUGUGAGAGGAUAGUGGAAUUCCAGGUGUAGGAGUGAAAUCCGUAGAUAUCUGGAGGAACAUCAGUGGCGAAGGCGACUAUCGGGCACAUAACUGACGCUGAGGAGCGAAAGCGUGGGUAGCAAACAGGAUUAGAUACCCGAGUAGUC